rnacentral:rRNA from 1 species
AACGAACGCUGGCGGCAUGCCUAACACAUGCAAGUCGAACGAGACCUUCGGGUCUAGUGGCGCACGGGUGCGUAACGCGGGGGAACCUGCCCUUAGGUUCGGAAUAACUCCCCGAAAGGGGUGUUAAUACCGGGUAAUGUCUUCGGACCAAAUAUUUAUCGCCUUUGGAUGGGCCUGUGUUGGAUUAGCUGGUUGGUAGGGUAAAAGCCUACCAAGGGGACGAUCCAUAGCUGGUGUGAGAGGAUGAUCAGCCACACUGGGACUGGGACACGGCCCAGACUCCUACGGGAGGCAGCAGUGGGGAAUAUUGGACGAUGGGCGAAAGCCUGAUCCAGCAAUGCCGCGUGAGUGAUGAAGGCCUUAGGGUUGUAAAGCUCUUUUACCCGGGAUGAUAAUGACGGUACCGGGAGAAUAAGCUCCGGCUAACUACGUG